rnacentral:rRNA from 1 species
AACGAACGCUGGCGGCAUGCCUAACACAUGCAAGUCGAACGAGACCUUCGGGUCUAGUGGCGCACGGGUGCGUAACGCGUGGGAAUCUGCCCUUCGGUUGGGAAUAACACAGAGAAAUUUGUGCUAAUACCUUAUAAUGUCUUCGGACCAAAGAUUUAUCGCCGAGGGAUGAGCCCGCGUAGGAUUAGCUAGUUGGUGGGGUAAUGGCCUACCAAGGCGACGAUCCUUAGCUGGUCUGAGAGGAUGAUCAGCCACACUGGGACUGAGACACGGCCCAGACUCCCACGGGAGGCAGCAGUGGGGAAUAUUGGACAAUGGGCGAAAGCCUGAUCCAGCAAUGCCGCGUGAGUGAUGAAGGCCUUAGGGUUGUAAAGCUCUUUUACCCGGGAUGAUAAUGACAGUACCGGGAGAAUAAGCUCCGGCUAACUCCGUGCCAGCCGCCGCCGUAA